UACGGGGGGAGCAAGCGUUGUUCGGAUUUACUGGGCGUAAAGGGCGCGUAGGCGGCACUGCAAGUCAGUUGUGAAAUCUCCGGGCUUAACCCGGAAAGGUCAACUGAUACUGCAGGGCUAGAGUGCAGAAGGGGCAACUGGAAUUCCCAGUGUAGCGGUGAAAUGCGUAGAUAUUGGGAGGAACACCAGUGGCGAAGGCGGCUCACUGGACCGGUACUGACGCUGAUGCGCGAAAGCGUGGGGAGCAAACGGG
rnacentral:rRNA from 1 species